UAUAUAUAUAUAUAUAUUAGAAUUUAAUUUGGUGAAAAUGGCUUCCCCCGUAAAUCCAAAUUCCCGCUUCUGCUUCCCCCCGAAAAUUGAAACAAAUUUCAAUCCCUGUUUGGUUUUCUCCUGUAGCUUCCCGAGAAGCCAUUUUCCCAAAGUUUCCCCAGUCACUCGAAGAAAACCCACCCAGCCAGCCAAAAAAAAAAAAAGAAGCUACCGCGCCCAAAAAUCCUUCCAUCCCAUUGUGCAUCACUCGAUCCUUCUCUUCGUCCGUUCUUCUCUGCAGAUCGAUUCGUUUGGGUUUUUAUAGAAGAUGCCAGUUUGGGUUUUUAUAGAAGAUACGAAGAUCGGUGCGUUUGGUGCCUCGAGUACUCCAUCCUUCAACUUUACGUCCUCGCCUGCUUUUGGCAAAUCAACUUCUGCCUUUGGCAGCAGCCCUUUUGGCACUUCUACUUCUCCUUUUGGAGCUCAGAGUUCUGGGUUUGUGUGACGCGAUGCAGGAGCCUAGUCAACCAGCCAAUACGACUGGGGGUGCAGUGGGCUUGUCUGGGAAUUUAAGAUUUACGUGAAGAUGGUCUUGUUCAGGAGAAAGUCAAUCUUGUCAAAGUGAACUAGAAAUCUAAUGAAGUACAUGAUGACCAUACUAUUCAGAAGGGGGAUUCUUAUAUGACCUAAGUGGGCACAGAGCUGGCGGGGCUGCUAUUGUGUAUGAGCAUGGUGCAGACAUUGAGGCUCUAAUGCCGAAGCUCCGGCGCUCUGACUACUACACAGAGCCACAGAUCCAAGAACUGGCUGCCAAGGAAAGAGCAGAACCAGGGUUCUGCCGCCACGUCAAGAAAAAACCCACAAUCUCUAGAUUUGCAGCGGAAAACCAACAUCGGUGAUAUCCAGAAAGCACCAAGGUCUGUUAUGUUUCUUUGGGGGGUUCUUGCACUCUUUUGGACAGAUUUGUAGCGGAAAACCAACAUCGGUGAUAUCCAGAAAGCACCAAGGCUAUGUCAGCGUGUCAUCGAUGGAGAGAAGAUGCUGGAACUUGAAGAAGUCCAGCUUUUGUAAGGGAGAAAACAAGUCUAGUUUUUCAGGAAAGGAGUCAAAAGUAUCAAAACAUGAGGAAGAAACUACUUCCACAUACAACCAGCCGCAAAGGAUAUGCUCGCCUAAUUGAAGACAUGGUACAUUUAUACUCUUCGGGUUUAAAUGUAGGCAAUGAAGACUCAUGCUUUUUCCAACUAUCUACA